rnacentral:rRNA from 1 species
AUUGAACGCUGGCGGCAGGCCUAACACAUGCAAGUCGAGCGGAUGAAGGGAGCUUGCUCCUGGAUUCAGCGGCGGACGGGUGGGUAAUGCCUAGGAAUCUGCCUGGUAGUGGGGGAUAACGUCCGGAAACGGGCGCUAAUACCGCAUACGUCCUGAGGGAGAAAGUGGGGGAUCUUCGGACCUCACGCUAUCAGAUGAGCCUAGGUCGGAUUAGCUAGUUGGUGGGGUAAAGGCCUACCAAGGCGACGAUCCGUAACUGGUCUGAGAGGAUGAUCAGUCACACUGGAACUGAGACACGGUCCAGACUCCUACGGGAGGCAGCAGUGGGGAAUAUUGGACAAUGGGCGAAAGCCUGAUCCAGCCAUGCCGCGUGUGUGAAGAAGGCCUUCGGAUUGUAAAGCACUUUAAGUUGGGAGGAAGGGCAGUAAGUUAAUACCUUGCUGUUUUGACGUUACCAACAGAAUAAGCACCGGCUAACUUCGUG